ACAUAGGGGCUAGAAGAUUUAAAUAUUAUUUACACAUAUGACGUCCUAUUAAAAUUUUAGGGUAAAGAUUUAUCGCUUUAGGGGGGAUAGACUUUAAAGAUAAAAUUCGAAGUAGACAGACAGACAAGGGGCGAAUAGGUCCGUUGUUAAAAGGGGGGAGCCCAAAUUAGAAGUUAAAGUCACAGAUUCAAUAAUUAAGUGUAAAAGGAGUAUGGGAUUUAGACAAUGAAGAGGUAGGCUUGGAGCCAGCCAUCUUUGAAAGAAUGCGUAGUAGUUCAUUCAAGAACUCUUUUUCCCCAAAAAUUAUGGUGGCUAAAAAUUGAACUGAAACUCUAGGGGCAGGAAGUAGUUUGCUUGGUAGUAGAACAGACUGUUGGGUGGUGGUGAGAACCCAAGAAUCAGAAGCGAAAAUGUGAACAUGAGUAAAAAAAUUGUUGCUUCAUCUCCCCUGGUUCCCAAACCAAAAGUAUCUGAGCGAAGAGGUUUGGGUGAAACAGUCUCUAAGGAGGGUACCGAUGAGGGAUAGUAAUUAACGCACAAUGUGCCAGGAAAUAAUUAAAACAAAAGAUUACUGUCGCAAACUAACACAAGUGGGAGAUAGUGAGGGGAAAAGUUUUUUUAAGGAACUCGGCCAGUUAUAAACUUUUAUUAGAAGUUAAAACACAAGGCCUCGACUGUUUACCAAAAACAUAGCUCUUUGCUAAUAUGAAGGUAGAAGUAUGAAGGGUGAGACCUGCCCAAUGGUUAUAUCUUAAAAGGUUAGUAGGGCUAACUUAAUAAAGAUAAUUAAAUGGCCGCGGUAACACUAACCGUGAAAAUGUAGCGUAAUCAAUAGUCAAUUAAUUGUUGGCCGGUAUGAAUGGUGUCACGAGGGUCUCACUGUCUUAAGGAAAUCUCCAGUGAAAUUGAAUUUGUAGUGAAGAUGCUACAUCCAAAUUGUUAGACGAGAAGACCCCAUGGAACUUUACUGGAAACUUAUGUCGCUGACUUAAAUAGUUUUAAAAUGUGGUGCGGAUUAAUUAGGUUAAAAAGCUCACUUUUUUAUUUGAAGAAAGGCAACUCAAAAACUUAUGUCUUUGGGGCUUGAUAAGUGGGACAGUUUGGUUGGGGCGAUCGCCUUUAAAAAAGUAACGAAGGCGGGCUUAAGAUAUAUAUUUAGUUAUGUCUGACUGCCAGGGGGAAACCUAGAGCAGACACUUAUCUUUGGAUGGUGGGUUUAAGUGACCCGUUAAUUUAGGGUGAAAUAGUUAACGAUAAACAAAUAAAAGUUACCCUGGGGAUAACAGCGUAAUAACGUCAGAGAGUUUUCAUCGACGACGAUGUUUGCGACCUCGAUGUUGAAUUGUGGCAUCCUGGGGUGCAGUCGCUCCCAAGGGUUGGUCUGUUCGUCCAUUAAAGCCGUACAUGAUUUGAGUUAAAAGCGUCGUAAGACAGCUUGGUUUCUAUCUACAAUUUGAAAAAACAUUAAUAUAACUCUUUUCUAGUACGAAAGGAUCGAAAUAUGAGUGGUUCUCUUAUUUUUAUAAGUUACAAUCAACGGAUUGACUCGGAUACUUUUUAAAGGGG
rnacentral:rRNA from 1 species